rnacentral:rRNA from 1 species
GACGAACGCUGGCGGCGUGCUUAACACAUGCAAGUCGAACGGAAAGGCCCUGCUCUUGUGGGGUGCUCGAGUGGCGAACGGGUGAGUAACACGUGAGUAACCUGCCCUUGACUUUGGGAUAACUUCAGGAAACUGGGGCUAAUACCGGAUAGGAGCUCCUGCUGCACGGUGGGGGUUGGAAAGUUUCGGCGGUUGGGGAUGGACUCGCGGCUUAUCAGCUUGUUGGUGGGGUAGUGGCUUACCAAGGCUUUGACGGGUAGCCGGCCUGAGAGGGUGACCGGCCACAUUGGGACUGAGAUACGGCCCAGACUCCUACGGGAGGCAGCAGUGGGGAAUAUUGCACAAUGGGCGGAAGCCUGAUGCAGCAACGCCGCGUGCGGGAUGGCGGCCUUCGGGUUGUAAACCGCUUUCGCCUGUGACGAAGCGUGAGUGACGGUAAUGGGUAAAGAAGCACCGGCUAACUACGUG